rnacentral:rRNA from 1 species
ACGCUGGCGGCGUGCCUAAUACAUGCAAGUAGAACGCUGAAAGAGGAGCUUGCUUCUCUGGAUGAGUUGCGAACGGGUGAGUAACGCGUAGGUAACCUGCCUGGUAGCGGGGGAUAACUAUUGGAAACGAUAGCUAAUACCGCAUAAGAGUAGAUGUUGCAUGACAUUUGCUUAAAAGGUGCAAUUGCAUCACUACCAGAUGGACCUGCGUUGUAUUAGCUAGUUGGUGGGGUAACAGCUCACCAAGGCGACGAUACAUAGCCGACCUGAGAGGGUGAUCGGCCACACUGGGACUGAGACACGGCCCAGACUCCUACGGGAGGCAGCAGUAGGGAAUCUUCGGCAAUGGACGGAAGUCUGACCGAGCAACGCCGCGUGAGUGAAGAAGGUUUUCGGAUCGUAAAGCUCUGUUGUAAGAGAAGAACGAGUGUGAGAGUGGAAAGUUCACACUGUGACGGUAUCUUACCAGAAAGGGACGGCUAACUACGUGCCAGCAGCCGCGGUAAUACGUAGGUCCCGAGCGUUGUCCGGAUUUAUUGGGCGUAAAGCGAGCGCAGGCGGUUAGAUAAGUCUGAAGUUAAAGGCUGUGGCUUAACCACAGUACGCUUUGGAAACUGUUUAACUUGAGUGCAAGAGGGGAGAGUGGAAUUCCAUGUGUAGCGGUGAAAUGCGUAGAUAUAUGGAGGAACACCGGUGGCGAAAGCGGCUCUCUGGCUUGUAACUGACGCUGAGGCUCGAAAGCGUGGGGAGCAAACAGGAUUAGAUACCCUGGUAGUCCACGCCGUAAACGAUGAGUGCUAGGUGUUAGGCCCUUUCCGGGGUUUAGUGCCACAGCUAACGCAUUAAGCACUCCGCCUGGGGAGUACGACCGCAAGGUUGAAACUCAAAGGAAUUGACGGGGGCCCGCACAA